rnacentral:rRNA from 1 species
CAAUAGCGUAUAUUAAAGUUGUUGCGGUUAAAAAGCUCGUAGUUGGAUUUCUGUUGAGAGCAGCGCGUCUACCUUUUGGGUAAGUACGUUGCUUGGUCUCGGCAUCUUCGUGGAAAACGUUUCUGCGCUUGAUUGCGUGGGGCGGGGUUCACGACUUUUACUUUGAGGAAAUUAGAGUGUUCACGGCAGGCAUACGCCUUGAAUAUAUUAGCAUGGAAUAAUAACAUAGGGCUUACGGCCUAUUUUGUUGGUUUCUAGGCUGCAGGCAAUGAUUAAUAGGGACAAUUGGGGGCAUUCGUAUUAACGCGUCAGAGGUGAAAUUCUUGGAUUGCGUUACGACGAACUACUGCGAAAGCAUUUGCCAAGGAUGUUUUCAUUGA